GCCUUGCGAGUGUGACGGACGAGCACGGCAGACUUCGAAUCUGCAAGACGGGGUUCGAUUCCCUGGCGAGGUA
rnacentral:tRNA from 1 species